rnacentral:rRNA from 1 species
GAUGAACGCUGGCGGCGUGCUUAACACAUGCAAGUCGAACGAAGCACUUAAAUGGAUUUCCUUCGGGGAUGAAGCUUUUGUGACUGAGUGGCGGACGGGUGAGUAACGCGUGGGUAACCUGCCUCAUACAGGGGGAUAACAGUUGGAAACGACUGCUAAUACCGCAUAAGCGCACAGCUUCGCAUGAAGUGGUGUGAAAAACUCCGGUGGUAUGAGAUGGACCCGCGUUGGAUUAGCUAGUUGUGGGGUAACGGCUCACCAAGGCCGACGAUCCAUAGCCGACCUGAGAGGGUGAUCGGCCACAUUGGAACUG